rnacentral:rRNA from 1 species
AUAAUGGGUCAGCGACUUAUAUUCUGUAGCAAGGUUAACCGAAUAGGGGAGCCGAAGGGAAACCGAGUCUUAACUGGGCGUUAAGUUGCAGGGUAUAGACCCGAAACCCGGUGAUCUAGCCAUGGGCAGGUUGAAGGUUGGGUAACACUAACUGGAGGACCGAACCGACUAAUGUUGAAAAAUUAGCGGAUGACUUGUGGCUGGGGGUGAAAGGCCAAUCAAACCGGGAGAUAGCUGGUUCUCCCCGAAAGCUAUUUAGGUAGCGCCUCGUGAAUUCAUCUCCGGGGGUAGAGCACUGUUUCGGCAAGGGGGUCAUCCCGACUUACCAACCCGAUGCAAACUGCGAAUACCGGAGAAUGUUAUCACGGGAGACACACGGCGGGUGCUAACGUCCGUCGUGAAGAGGGAAACAACCCAGACCGCCAGCUAAGGUCCCAAAGUCAUGGUUAAGUGGGAAACGAUGUGGGAAGGCCCAGACAGCCAGGAUGUUGGCUUAGAAGCAGCCAUCAUUUAAAGAAAGCGUAAUAGCUCACUGGUCGAGUCGGCCUGCGCGGAAGAUGUAACGGGGCUAAACCAUGCACCGAAGCUGCGGCAGCGACGCUUAUGCGUUGUUGGGUAGGGGAGCGUUCUGUAAGCCUGCGAAGGUGUGCUGUGAGGCAUGCUGGAGGUAUCAGAAGUGCGAAUGCUGACAUAAGUAACGAUAAAGCGGGUGAAAAGCCCGCUCGCCGGAAGACCAAGGGUUCCUGUCCAACGUUAAUCGGGGCAGGGUGAGUCGACCCCUAAGGCGAGGCCGAAAGGCGUAGUCGAUGGGAAACAGGUUAAUAUUCCUGUACUUGGUGUUACUGCGAAGGGGGGACGGAGAAGGCUAUGUUGGCCGGGCGACGGUUGUCCCGGUUUAAGCGUGUAGGCUGGUUUUCCAGGCAAAUCCGGAAAAUCAAGGCUGAGGCGUGAUGACGAGGCACUACGGUGCUGAAGCAACAAAUGCCCUGCUUCCAGGAAAAGCCUCUAAGCAUCAGGUAACAUCAAAUCGUACCCCAAACCGACACAGGUGGUCAGGUAGAGAAUACCAAGGCGCUUGAGAGAACUCGGGUGAAGGAACUAGGCAAAAUGGUGCCGUAACUUCGGGAGAAGGCACGCUGAUAUGUAGGUGAAGUCCCUUGCGGAUGGAGCUGAAAUCAGUCGAAGAUACCAGCUGGCUGCAACUGUUUAUUAAAAACACAGCACUGUGCAAACACGAAAGUGGACGUAUACGGUGUGACGCCUGCCCGGUGCCGGAAGGUUAAUUGAUGGGGUUAGCGCAAGCGAAGCUCUUGAUCGAAGCCCCGGUAAACGGCGGCCGUAACUAUAACGGUCCUAAGGUAGCGAAAUUCCUUGUCGGGUAAGUUCCGACCUGCACGAAUGGCGUAAUGAUGGCCAGGCUGUCUCCACCCGAGACUCAGUGAAAUUGAACUCGCUGUGAAGAUGCAGUGUACCCGCGGCAAGACGGAAAGACCCCGUGAACCUUUACUAUAGCUUGACACUGAACAUUGAGCCUUGAUGUGUAGGAUAGGUGGGAGGCUUUGAAGUGUGGACGCCAGUCUGCAUGGAGCCGACCUUGAAAUACCACCCUUUAAUGUUUGAUGUUCUAACGUGGACCCGUAAUCCGGGUUGCGGACAGUGUCUGGUGGGUAGUUUGACUGGGGCGGUCUCCUCCUAAAGAGUAACGGAGGAGCACGAAGGUUGGCUAAUCCUGGUCGGACAUCAGGAGGUUAGUGCAAUGGCAUAAGCCAGCUUGACUGCGAGCGUGACGGCGCGAGCAGGUGCGAAAGCAGGUCAUAGUGAUCCGGUGGUUCUGAAUGGAAGGGCCAUCGCUCAACGGAUAAAAGGUACUCCGGGGAUAACAGGCUGAUACCGCCCAAGAGUUCAUAUCGACGGCGGUGUUUGGCACCUCGAUGUCGGCUCAUCACAUCCUGGGGCUGAAGUAGGUCCCAAGGGUAUGGCUGUUCGCCAUUUAAAGUGGUACGCGAGCUGGGUUUAGAACGUCGUGAGACAGUUCGGUCCCUA